rnacentral:rRNA from 1 species
UGAAGCGGCAAGAGCUCAGAUUUGAAAUCUCACCUAGUGUGCGAGUUGUAAAUUGCAGGUUGGAGUCUCGGGUUAGACGUGUGUCAAGUCCCUUGGAACAGGGUGCCACUGAGGGUGAGAGCCCCGUAAUCGUGCAUGUCGACACCUGUGAGGCCCUUCUGACGAGUCGAGUUGUUUGGGAAUGCAGCUCUAAGUGGGUGGUAAAUUCCAUCUAAGGCUAAAUAUUGGCGAGAGACCGAUAGCGAACAAGUACUGUGAAGGAAAGAUGAAAAGCACUUUGAAAAGAGAGUGAAACAGCACGUGAAAUAGUUGAAAGGGAAGGGUAUAGGGCUCGACAUGGGAUUUACGCAUCGUUGCCUCUCGUGGGCGGCGCUCUGGGUUUUUCCUGGGCCAGCAUCGGUUUUCGUUGCAGGAUAAGGACAAUUGGAAUGUGGCUCCUCGGAGUGUUAUAGCCUUUUGUAGAUGCUGCGUAUGGGGACCGAGGGCUGCGGACUCGUUUCUCUC